UACGAAGGGGUCUAGCGUUGCUCGGAAUCACUGGGCGUAAAGCGCACGUAGGCGGCUUUUUAAGUCAGGGGUGAAAUCCUGGAGCUCAACUCCAGAACUGCCUUUGAUACUGAGAAGCUUGAGUCCGGGAGAGGUGAGUGGAACUGCGAGUGUAGAGGUGAAAUUCGUAGAUAUUCGGAAGAACACCCGUGGCGAAGGCGACUUACUGGACACAUAUUGACGCUGAGGUGCGAAAGCGUGGGGAGCAAACAGG
rnacentral:rRNA from 1 species